UAGAUAGCUCAGUUGGUAGAGCAUGAGACCCUUAAUCUCAAGGCCAUGGGUUUGAGCACCACAUUGGGCAAAA
rnacentral:tRNA from 1 species